rnacentral:rRNA from 1 species
AUGACGUUGAUAGGGUGUAGGUGUAAAGACGGUGACGUCAAAGCCGAGCACUACUAAUUGCCCGAAACUUUCUUC